AGUAUCACUUUUGACCGUGCAAGGAAAAGUGAAGCAAGCAAAAUACCCAUGCUCGCUCUAGUCCACGAGAGGACUUGAUUCCUCUCGUGUCUCUUCUUAUCUCUGGUUCGUCGUCAUCCUUUUUACCUUCAACACUUUCCUUCUAAACAGUAAUUUCCAUUAUUGUCCUACCUAAAUCCUCUUACACCAACCACAUGCCAAUUAUAUUCCCCAUUUCUAUUUUAAUUGUUUUGGAUGCGUGUUUGUUCUCAUCUGUUUAAAAUAUAUAUGUAUUAUGAUGUAUAUAAGCAGAAUUGAGACUGCAAAUAAUCAAGUCUGCCUUUGAGGUCUCUGCAAUUUUUCUGGGUUUGUUUCGUUUGGGAUUUUGAGUCGACUUUAUGGCGGUGAAUUUGUUGUCUCCAGCAGAAAUCAAGGCUGUUUCUUUCUUGGAUACUACAAGGUCCACUCAACUAUACAAACUCCCAGGUGUUUAUUUCUAACUGUACUUCACUUUUUUCUAUUUCUUUUUGUUUGGUUCCUGAGAAAAAAGAAGUAGGAAAGGUUUGGAAAAGGAAGCCUGCUUUUUGGCUACCGUCUUUUGGAUAUAACGAGGAAAUUAAGUUCGAUGUGGAGGUGAAUUCCCGUCACCCUGCCUGUUAGAGCGGAGAUUUUUCAUUUCGAAGCUUCAAGUUGUGGAGUAAAUGAAUGCUAGUCUUUUUCUUUUCCCUUCCGCUUUUUAUGUUUUCUCUGUUUGAAUUCUCAAUGUUUUUUGGUUUUUACCUUUCAAAUUACAAUUGAUAACUGAUGAAAUUUGGUGUCAUUUGCUGGUUUCUCCACGACAUAUAUGGCUUGCCUGUUGUUCCAACUCUUAAUUGUUUGAUGGUCCUAAGUAAUGUAUUUCGAUUUGCUUUUCAAUUGGCUGAAUUUUGAACAGCCACUUUUUGUACUGCAUGCGGCUUUCUAGUUCCUAAAGACCUAGCAAAAAAAAAAUCAUGAAGUUUUGGGUUGUUUUGCAGUAAGAUUGAUGCGACUAUUGCUAUUGCAAGUUUUCUUUCGAUAUGUUGGAAACCUGAGCUUACCCAUAUUUCUGGUUAACUAUAAAAUUGGGCUUUUGAAAUUGUCUGGUAUGUGAAUGUUUAAGAGGGUUUUCCUUGAAAAAGCGGGAUUGUGGAACGUUAUUUGGAAGAAGAAAUCAUUGUUCAGUGCAUCAACCUCCUCCA
rnacentral:lncRNA from 1 species